rnacentral:rRNA from 1 species
UACGUAGGGUGCAAGCGUUGUCCGGAAUUAUUGGGCGUAAAGAGCUCGUAGGCGGUUUGUUGCGUCGGCUGUGAAAUCCCGAGGCUCAACCUCGGGUCUGCAGUCGAUACGAGCAAACUAGAGUGUUGCAGGGGAGACUGGAAUUCCUGGUGUAGCGGUGAAAUGCGCAGAUAUCAGGAGGAACACCGGUGGCGAAGGCGGGUCUCUGGGCAUUAACUGACGCUGAGGAGCGAAAGCCAUGGGGAGCGAACAGG